ACGAUUCCCCCAUCCCGGGGUGCUCCUCCUCCAGCCGCGCUUUCCCUGGGAAAACCCAGCCUGAAAACCCCAAAUUCAAAUCCCAAACCUGUUUUUUUGGUUUUUUUAAUUUAUUUUUGGGUUUCCCCGGGUUUUCAGGGUGGGAAUUCCGCCUGGAAUCUGCUGGGAAUGGGGAGCCCAAGUGUGGGACCCACCCCGGCUCCAAGAGCUGCGAAAUUCGGGAUUUUUCCACCACUUUUGGGCUUCUUUCUGCUCUCUAAAAUCUGGGAGUUGUGACCCUUAAAAGCUGCGAGUUUUGGGAAUUUUGGGAGCUGUGAUCGUUGGGAAUUGCGAACUUUAGGAAUGGUGAAUUCAGGGAAUUGUCAAUUUUAGGAAUUGGGAAUUUUGGGAAUGGUGAACUUUAGGAACGUUGUAUUUGGGGAAUUGUCAAUUUUAGGAAUUGGGAAUUUUGGGAAUGGUGAACUUUAGGAGCUGCCACCAUUCCCAGCCAACCCUGGGAGCAGCCUUCCCUUUUCCCUGUCAUUUUCCUGGACUCUUCCUUGACAUUUUCUCACUUCCAAGUAAAAUAUUGGAAUUUUUCCCAUUUUUUUUCCCCUUCCAGUUUUUCCUCCCCAAACUCAGCAGCUUCUCCUGCCCCGCUGGGAAUUCCUCCUGCUCCCUCAGCUACGCCCCAGAAAUUCCUGAAAGAUUCCCGGGAGCCAAUGGGCAGUGGAGGAGCUCCAAGCCCCGGGGGAGCCGAGGCUCCUUCCUGGAGACCCGGAAAAAUUCCAGGUGGGUGCAGCAGAUCCUGGAUUUCCAGGUUUUAAUUGGUAUUUUUUGGGGUUUUUUUUAAUUUUUAGGAUUUUUUUUGAGAGUCUUGGGAUUUUAGGGUGGUUUAUUUUCUUUUUCCGGGGGAUUUUUUGGUGGCUUUAAUUUGGGAUUUUGGUUAUUUGGGAUUUGAGAUUUUUCGGUGGGGUUUGGGAUUCUUGGUGGGUUUUUUUUUUCAUUUUAUUUGGGAUUUUUGAGGGGUGG
rnacentral:lncRNA from 1 species